rnacentral:misc_RNA from 1 species
GAUGAAGAACGCAGCGAAAUGCGAAAAGUAAUGUGAAUUGCAGAAUUCAGUGAACCAUCGAAUCUUUGAACGCACAUUGCGCCCGCUGGAACUCCGGCGGGCACGCCUGUCCGAGCGUCAUUUCAACCCUCAGGCCCCCCUUCGCGGGCGGGCCUGGUGUUGGGGCCCGGCCGCUACCCUGCGGCCGUCCCCUAAAUCCAGUGGCGGCCUCGCCGUGAUCCCUUGCGUAGUAAUGCACCUCGCACCGGAGAGCGCCGUGGCCACGCCGUAAAACCCCCAAUUUUCAAUGGUUGACCUCGGAUCAGGUGGGAAUACCCGCUGAACUUAAGCAUAUCAAUAAGCGAGGA